UACGGAGGAUGCGAGCGUUAUCCGGAUUUAUUGGGUUUAAAGGGUGCGUAGGCGGCGAGUUAAGUCAGCGGUAAAAGCCCGGGGCUCAACCCUGUCGAGCCGUCGGAACUGGCAGUCUUGAGUGGGCGAGAAGUAUGCGGAAUGCGUGGUGUAGCGGUGAAAUGCAUAGAUAUCACGCAGAACGCCGAUUGCGAAGGCAGCAUACCGGCGCCCAACUGACGCUGAAGCACGAAAGCGUGGGUAUCGAACAGG
rnacentral:rRNA from 1 species